rnacentral:lncRNA from 1 species
GGCAUUUGUUUUCGUAUAAACCAGUGUAGGAUUAGUAAAUUUGUAUUUUUCACGACCCGGUUAAAAGUGGUGUUAUGUCCAUUAAUAAAAAAUAAUACCGUUUUGAGAAAAACUGAGGGGUUAUUUAAUUAAGAUCAUUGGUUGUAGAUUAUUACUAUUGACGACGUGAUUCCUCUAAUGGAUCAAUAGUCUAAAUACCACAGGUAAAGACAGUCGGUAAGACAAAUAUUUACGCAACGCGCUGGCAACCUAAUACAAUAUAUAUUGGGUAAGUAAUUUAUAAUUAGAGGUUCGAGACUCGCUCUCACCCCAAAACCUAAAUUAUUGACCCUAUAAAUGUUUUAUUAGGCGAAUAGCACAUUGUGCAACUAACGUAAUCUUAAUCAAACGGGUGUUAGGGCUUGUUCACAUUCCCCCUGUUCGCAAAUAAUUU